CCUACGGGAGGCAGCAGUGGGGAAUCCUGCGCAAUGGGGGAAACCCUGACGCAGCGACGCCGCGUGGAGGAUGAAGGUCUUCGGGUUGUAAACUCCUUUUCUUGGGGAAAAUGGUGAUGGUACUCAAGGAAUAAGCCACGGCUAACUCUGUGCCAGCAGCCGCGGUAAU
rnacentral:rRNA from 1 species